UACGUAGGGAGCGAGCGUUGUCCGGAUUCAUUGGGCGUAAAGAGCUCGUAGGCGGCUUGGUAAGUCGGAUGUGAAACCUCCAGGCUCAACCUGGAGUCGCCAUCCGAUACUGCCAUGGCUAGAGUCCGGUAGGGGCCCACGGAAUUCCUGGUGUAGCGGUGAAAUGCGCAGAUAUCGGGAGGAACACCUGUGGCGAAAGCGGCGCACUGGACCACAACUGACGCUGAGGCGCGAAAGCUAGGGGAGCAAACAGG
rnacentral:rRNA from 1 species